UGGGGAAUAUUGCACAAUGGAGGAAACUCUGAUGCAGCGACGCCGCGUGAUGGAAGAAGGUAUUCGUAUUGUAAACAUCUGUCUUCGGGGACGAUAAUGACGGUACCCGAGGAGGAAGCACCGGCUAAYUACGUGCCAGCAGCCGCGGUAAAACGUAGGGUSCAAGCGUUGUCCGGAAUUACUGGGUGUAAAGGGAGCGCAGGCGGUUCUUUAAKUUGGAUGUUAAAUCUACGGGCUCAACCCGUAUCAGCAUUCAAAACUGAAGAACUUGAGUGAAGUAGAGGUAGGCGGAAUUUCCAGUGUAGCGGUGGAAUGCGUAGAUAUUGGAAGGAACACCAGUGGCGAAGGCGGC
rnacentral:rRNA from 1 species